UCGGCCCUUCACACAGGAGAAGAAGAAGAAAAAAUGUGGUGCACGUCCAUGCACCACUUUAAUAAAAAUAAAAAUAAAAAUAAGGGGGCUAAAGCUCUUUUUAGUCUCAAACUUUCUCCUUUUUCCCUUAAGAUUUUUCAUUGAAAAACCUUGAUCUACGAAAAUCUAACCGUCUAAACUCAAAUUCGAUUGCAGAAACGUGAUCUAUGAAGCCCGAUCUACGUUUCUACCGAUUGGUUUGAAGAUUUGUUGUGAGGAGCUUGCUAAACACUCUCCAAGUGUUGGAUUUACAUUUGGUGAAAUUUUUGUGAUACAUUGCAAGGUGGUGUCUAGGAGACCUAGUGCUUAAUAUCCGCGUAGCCAAGACGUUUAUACUUUGGUUGCAGGUUUUACGGAUAUAGAUAUUGACUCGUCCACCUAGCGUAUGUGAUGCUAUGAUUGGAGCAUAUCGCGACUGUCAUAAGUCACGGACUCAUGGGUAGUCCGCAUUUUGGGUAUUUUAUUUAUGGCUCAUGUCCUACGUGGUACAUGUUUUUGUUGAGCCUGUAUUUUGGUACGUAAUUAGUGUAAUGUGUUUUAUAAGCCUUAAAUAGAUAGACUUGUAAAUGACUCUUGUUGUUGAUAACAGUUAUGUAUUAGAUGUAAUUCCGCUAUUGAUAUGUGUUCCGCUGCAUAUUGAUAUUUAUAUUCCGCUGUGUUAGAUGUAACUCUGAAUAUCAGGUACAUGUUAUGGAACAUGUACGUUAUGUUGGCUGUGCGACAAGUAGUUGUGCCACUGUGAAGAUCUGUUUGUAUGUUUUCAAAAAAAAAAAAAAGGGUCGUCACAGUCCCGGU